rnacentral:rRNA from 2 species
UGGGGAAUAUUGCGCAAUGGGCGAAAGCCUGACGCAGCAACGCCGCGUGAGGGAUGAAGGCCUUCGGGUUGUAAACCUCUUUUAUCAGGGAAGAAGCGAAAGUGACGGUACCUGAAGAAAAAGCACCGGCUAACUACGUGCCAGCAGCCGCGGUAAUACGUAGGGUGCAAGCGUUAUCCGGAAUUAUUGGGCGUAAAGAGCUCGUAGGCGGUUUGUCGCGUCUGCUGUGAAAAUCUGAGGCUCAACCUC